rnacentral:lncRNA from 1 species
CAGCUCAUUGUAAGGUUAGUCUUAACUCGUAACCUGCUUGAUUUGAGCAAGUAAGUCCGAGGGGUAUUUGAUACCUAGUGCCUUAAAAUCAUUUGAUUUGAAAGUCAUUGGCUGAAAACUCGCUACAUGGAUCAAAUAGAAAACUUAAGAGGUUAAGAUACACAAUAGCAGUACAAUGUUUAAAAAAAAAAUCUAAACAUUGGUUUCUCAUCGAGUAACCGGGCUCCUUCACCUAAGUAAGCGUGGUGUCUUGCAUCAAAAAGUGGACAAUGUGAAGAUAUUUUUAUAAUAAAUGAAGGACGGAAGUAACAAUACACUCGCCCAUGUGAAGGCAAAUGAUUUAGAGAUAAAAGUUGGGGUAAUUUAGAAACAGUUCAGAAAAGGUUUAAUGUUUUUCACUUAAUUUUCAUAUCGGUUAAAUAUUAAUACUCCAAUGACAUACCUCACUCUCACUUUAUUGAACAUCAAUGGCUCUUUGAAAAAAAAAUUGCUCGAUAAAACUUGAAACUCUAAGCCUAAAGGUAUCUAGCUCUCAAUCUUUUCUUUACUCGAGGACGAGCAAAGUUCAAGUUGGGGGGUG